UAUACACACACUAGCUUUUAGUAACAGUGCAGCUCAUGCACUUACAGAAAUGGCAAACAAAACUGGGGGAAAAUUUUUAUCACCCAAUGAUAAGACCACAUCUAACCAGUUAAUGGACGCGUUUGCUUCACUUACAUUGUCAACUGGAGAUUACACAAACGAACCAGUUCAGCUAGAGAGUGUUGGAGCAAGAACAUCUGAUUUGUUCAAUGGGAC